rnacentral:rRNA from 1 species
GAUGAACGCUGGCGGCGUGCUUAACACAUGCAAGUCGAACGGUGAAAGAGAGCUUGCUCUCUGGAUCAGUGGCGAACGGGUGAGUAACACGUGAGCAAUCUGCCCUUGACUCUGGGAUAAGCGCUGGAAACGGCGUCUAAUACCGGAUACGAGCUGCGAAGGCAUCUUCAGCAGCUGGAAAGAACUUCGGUCAAGGAUGAGCUCGCGGCCUAUCAGCUAGUUGGUGAGGUAACGGCUCACCAAGGCGUCGACGGGUAGCCGGCCUGAGAGGGUGACCGGCCACACUGGGACUGAGACACGGCCCAGACUCCUACGGGAGGCAGCAGUGGGGAAUAUUGCACAAUGGGCGCAAGCCUGAUGCAGCAACGCCGCGUGAGGGACGACGGCCUUCGGGUUGUAAACCUCUUUUAGCAGGGAAGAAGCGAAAGUGACGGUACCUGCAGAAAAAGCACCGGCUAACUACGUGCCAGCCGCCGCAGUAAAAC